UAUCAGACCAUACUGCUUACAAUGCAUACACACAUACAGACUGCUUACAAUGCAUAUCAUAUCAGAUCAUACUGCUUACAAUGCACAUCAUAUCAGAUCAUACUGCUUACUAUGCACAUCAUAUGAGAUCAGACUGCUUACAAUGCACAUCAUAUCAGAUCAUACUGCUUACAAUGCACAUCCUAUCAGAUCAUACUGCUUACAAUGCACAUCAUAUCAGAUCAUACUGCUUACAAUGCACAUCAUAUGAGAUCAUACUGCUUACAAUGCACAUCAUAUCAGAUCAUACUGCUUACAAUGCACAUCAUAUGAGAUCAUACUGCUUACAAUGCACAUCAUAUCAGAUCAUACUGCUUACAAUGCACAUCAUAUGAGAUCAGACUGCUUACAAUACAUAUCAUAUCAGAUGGUACUGCUUACAAUGCACAUCAUAUCAGAUCAUACGGCUUACAAUGCACAAACACAUACAGACUGCUCACAAUGCACAUCAUAUCAGAUCAUACUGCUUACAAUGCACAUCAUAUUAGAUCAUGCUGCUUACAAUGCACACACAUAUACAGACUACUUACAAUGCACUUCUUAUCAUAUCAUACUGCUUACAAUGCACAUCAUAUCAGAUCAUACUGCUUACAAUACAUAUCAUAUCAGAUCAUACUGUUUACAAUGCACAUCCUAUCAGAUCAUACUACUUACAAUGCACAUCAUGUCAGAUCAUACUGCUUGCAAUACAUAUCACAUCAGAUCAUACUGCUUACAAUGCACAUCAUAUCAGAUCAUACUGUUUACAAUGCACAUCAUAUCAGAUCAUACUGCUUACAAUGCACAUCAUAUGAGAUCAGACUGCUUACAAUACAUAUCAUAUCAGAUCAUACUGCUUACAAUGCACAUCAUAUCAGAUCAUACUGCUUACAAUGCACAUCAUAUCAGAUCAUACUGCUUACAAUGCACAUCAUAUGAGAUCAGACUGCUUACAAUAUAUAUCAUAUCAGAUCAUACUGCUUACAAUGCACAUCAUAUCAGAUCAUACUGUUUACAAUGCACAUCCUAUCAGAUCAUACUACUUACAAUGCACAUCAUGUCAGAUCAUACUGCUUGCAAUACAUAUCACAUCAGAUCAUACUGCUUACAAUGCACAUCAUAUCAGAUCAUACUGCUUACAAUGCACAUCAUAUCACAUCAUACUGCUUACAAUGCACACCAUAUGAGAUCAGACUGCUUACAAUACAUAUCAUAUCAGAUCAUACUGCUUACAAUGCACAUCAUAUCAGAUCAUACUGCUUACAAUGCACAUCAUAUGAGAUCAGACUGCUUACAAUACAUAUCAUAUCAGAUCAUACUGCUUACAAUGCACAUCAUAUCAGAUCAUACUGCUUACAAUGCACAUCCUAUCAGAUCAUACUGCUUACAAUGCAAAUCAUAUCAGAUCGUACUGCUUACAAUGCACAUCAUAUCAGAUCAUACUGCUUACAAUGCACAUCCUAUCAGAUCAUACUGCUUACAAUGCACAUCAUAUGAGAUCAGACUACUUACAAUGCACCUCCUAUCAGAUCAUACUGCUUACAAUGCACAUCAUAUCAGAUCAUACUGCUUACAAUGCACACACACAUAUAGACUGCUUACAAUGCACAUCAUAUGAGAUCAUACUGCUUACAUUGCAUAUCAUAUCAGAUCAUACUGCUUACAUACUGCUUACACAGUUUGUACUGUUUUUGAAUGCCUCUGUUUUUAGGCCCUGUGCCUCAGUAAGAAGGAACUUACAAGCCUCUCGACUCGAAGAGAAUGGGAGAAAUCGAACACACACACACACAUUAAUCCACACAUACACACACAGCAAUCAUGCAAUAUUGACAACUCAUGGUUUACAUGGCCGAGCUGUAAUAGACUUGGUCAGACAUGGCAAUUGAUUCCAGUCAUAACUAGAUGCUGGUUGGGGUACGGGGUGGGUUGGGGUGGUGUGUGUGUGUCUGUGUGCGUGCGUGCGCAUGCGCGUGCCUGUAAGUGUGUGUGUGGCAGUCAGGGAGACGUCAGCCUAGGGUUCAUCCAUCUAUGAAACAGGACAUGCCAGUAAUGGGAAAAAACACUGUAUGGCCCGGAGGACAGUAUACAGGCAACUUAUCAGGCUGAGAGAGCAGAACUUUGAUGCGUCGCGGGGAAAUAUAAUUCCAUUAUUUCUUCACAGCUGAGGAGCGGAGUGUUUUUUUUUCUACAUGCAAUUGGCCAUGGACUCGGAUAUGGGCUGGUUCCUGCUGAGUUGGGCAAUGCUGUUGUUUUUUUGGUUGGGUGGGUGAUCGGGAAGGUGAGCAUGUUUGGGGAGGGGGACUGGAGUGUGUAUGUGUUUUAGGUAAUUUCCGGUGCAUAUGGCUAUGACCAACAUCAUCACCAUAAAGAAUACAAAUAAAAAUGUAUCCAUGUUAAGUUUUAUUUAUACAAUCUCAUGUAUUCAAACGUAUUCUCAUUCUAACAUUAGUUUAGGGAUUAAAACACUACUUAUCACAUUUUGGUCAGUAUAUAUUGUCACAUCGUUGCAUACACUAGCUAGCCUAGCUAGCCAAAACUGUGGGGAGAAGAACUCAGUGAUUGAGCUUUCUGAAAGGAAGAUAGAGAGAUGACACUGCUGUCAAUUUAGGGAUUAAAUUCAAAAAGGAGCAACUUGAAGCAUUUUGAGGCUUUGUGGGAGGGGAUGAUGUAUUGGAGGCCCUGUCAAUGGGCUUUGGGGGAAAGCUUCAUUUACCAGUUAGCUAGCUAGUUCUAGUCUUCAAGAAGCUACGAAAAAGCCAUUCAAAUCAUGAAAGUCAUGUCCCAACUAAAAGCUGUGGUGGACAGAGGGCCAACUCCCUGAGGCCCUGGGUCUCAGAGCAGUGGUUGUGGAGGAAGACAAGAACGCGACACGUGACCUUGUCUUCGAAAGUCCAGAGAAAUGUCGAUUUCAUGAAAGCUGAUGCACAUCUCUUUUGGUUUUGUUGGUCAUACUUGCUGUUGUCUGAUGUUUUUGUGCCAGACUAUGAUCUAUUCAUGUUUAGGGUACUUCACGUUUAUGCAUUCUGGCAAGUGAACAUGGGUAGUACAGUAGUAGUUAGCUAGCUAGAAGACAUGGGUGAUUCACAUCAUUACCCUACUAUGGACAUCCAAAAAGGAACAUGAAUAGCUUCAGUUGAGUAAGGAAAUGUUCAGCCUAUAAUUAGCUAUCUAUGUCAUUAAUAACUAAAACAUACAUUUGAUUAGCUAUCCGAUUUCAAGUUAAUAACAAGCAAGCUAAAGUUAUGAGCUAGCUAUCUUUCUAUGGGCUGAACAAUGCUAGCUAACGUGUUACUUGCUAGCCACAAGAUUGUAACAUUUAACACUAAUUAUGUCACUCUACACUAAUAUGUCACUUGCUUUAGUGUAAAAUGGUUGUUAUAACGUUUUGAUAAUGUGUGGGAUGAUGUAUGCACCAACGAUGACCGAACUCCAAAGGUUUGCGCUAGCUAGUUAGCUGAUGUAUGUGUUUUCUUAUCCUGGAAGGGCUGGCCUAUGUAAGACAAUAGAUCACGAUUCUUUAAAUUCAAAACGGGGAUAUCCAACCAGCGUAGGGUUAAAGUCUGAGGAUACAGCCCCUUCAUUAUCGACACUUCGUCGAACCCUUUUUGAACCCUUUUUACUAAUUGUGUACAUAUGGAUGUGAAUUGUAUAACCCUAUAGUUAGAAGCACAGAGACUUUAUCUCUACCUGUUUAAUUGACCUUACAUUUAUCGUCUCAUUAUUACCUUUUACUAGUCCUACUUAAAGCUACAGUUUGGAACAGUAGUGGAGAGGGUAGCAAGUUUUAAGUUCCUCGGCAUACACAUCACAGACAAACUGAAUUGGUCCACUCACACAGACAGCAUCGUGAAGAAGGCGCAGCAGCGCCUCUUCAACCUCAGGAGGCUGAAGAAAUUCGGCUUGUCACCAAAAGCACUCACAAACUUCUACAGAUGCACAAUCGAGAGCAUCCUGGCAGGCUGUAUCACCGCCUGGUAUGGCAACUGCACCGCCCUCAACCGUAAGGCUCUCCAGAGGGUAGUGAGGUCUGCACAACGCAUCACCGGGGGCAAACUACCUGCCCUCCAGGACACCUACACCACCCGAUGUCACAGGAAGGCCAUAAAGAUCAUCAAGGACAUCAACCACCCGAGCCACUGCCUGUUCACCCCGCUAUCAUCCAGAAGGCGAGGUCAGUACAGGUGCAUCAAAGCUGGGACCGNNNNNNNNNNCAAAGCUGGGACCGAGAGACUGAAAAACAGCUUCUAUCUCAAGGCCAUCAGACUGUUAAACAGCCACCACUAACACUGAGUGGCUGCUGCCAACACACUGACACUGACUCAACUCCAGCCACUUUAAUAAUGGGAAUUGAUGGGAAAUGAUGUAAAUAUAUCACUAGCCACUUUAAACAAUGCUACCUUAUAUAAAUGUUACUUACCCUACAUUAUUCAUCUCAUAUGCAUACGUAUAUACUGUACUCUAUAUCAUCGACGGUAUCCUUAUGUAAUACAUGUAUCACUAGCCACUUUAUACUAUACUAUGCCACUUUGUUUACAUACUCAUCUCAUUUGUACAUACUGUACUCGAUACCAUCUACUGUAUCUUGCCUAUGCUGCUCUGUACCAUCACUCAUUCAUAUAUCCUUAUGUACAUAUUCUUUAUCCCCUUACACUGUGUACAAGACAGUAGUUAUGGAAUUGUUAGUUAGAUUACUUGUUAUUACUGCAUUGUCGGAACUAGAAGCACAAGCAUUUCGCUACACUCGCAUUAACAUCUGCUAACCAUGUGUAUGUGACAAAUAAAAUUUGAUUUGAUUUGGAAGCAUAGUUGCUAAUCUGUGACGUUGAACCUUGAAUCAUAUUCUCAUAAUAUAUUACAUGAUUCCAUGUAUUUACCUCAUUAAACAAAUAAAUAUUUAGUUUAUAACAAACUGUAAAUAAAACCAAUAAACUAGCUAUAUCCCUAAACGUCCUGAGAACAAGGAGAGGUGUUCUAUUUCGGUAACCUCUUUUAACCCAAGAGGACAUUGUUAAACUAUCCCUUUAAAGCUGGGUAACAUAGACUGAUGAUGAUGCUGUGGCUCUCAGCUCUCUAUACAGCCUCCUAACUCCAUGUGUGUGGAGAAAGGCCAUUGGCUAACACGCUCACUGGGGUUGGGGGGGUGUCCCUCCCCUUUGUAUGGUCUGGGGGCUUGUAUGGCCGUGGGGCGAUGGCUAUGAUAAAUCAAUAGAUGGGAGAUAGAGAGAGUAGCUAGCGUUGGUGGCUGGUCCCGCCUGUAUACCUAU
rnacentral:lncRNA from 13 species